UCGGCAGAGAAGGCAGACCAAGGAGUUC
rnacentral:piRNA from 1 species